GACGGAGGGUGCUAGCGUUGUUCGGAAUCACUGGGCGUAAAGGGCGCGUAGGCGGCCGCCCGCGUCGGACGUGAAAGCCCGGGGCUCAACCCCGGAACGGCGUCCGAUACGGGGCGGCUCGAGGCCGGGAGAGGGGGGUGGAAUACCCAGUGUAGAGGUGAAAUUCGUAGAUAGUUGGUGGAACACCGGUGGCGAAAGCGGCCCC
rnacentral:rRNA from 1 species